ensembl:snoRNA
UUUGGCCAUGAUGACCCACUUGCCCUCCCUGAGAACAGAGUUCGGUAAUGGGAAUCUUUAUUUAUUUAUUUUUUAAUGGAGUCACA